GGACUUAUAGUUUGUAGCCUUUUCCUGUGUUGAAUCGCUGAUUGUAAGGGCUAGGUGAAAACAGUAUAAAAAGCAGUGUAAGCUGGAGAGAGAAGGUACUGGAAAUUGCAGGUCAUCUUGCACAGUGGGUACUUGAAACGGACAUAGAAGACAAGAUUUCAGAAUAAAUGUGCAUGCUGCAACUGUAGUCCUAAGCACAGUUACUUGGAAGUAGAUUUCCCUAAAGUCUAGAAGUUACGUACUUCCAAAUAGAUGGUGGCUUUUUUUACUCCACUCGUUUCUCAUAAAUCUGACCAGCACUGUUUGCUUCUGCCUGAGGUGUAAGCCUUGACAUUGUUGCUGAAUCAAAAUGUGGCUAAUGAACUGGAAGGCACUGGAAAAUUUCCCACUGCUAAUGUACAUUUUAGCAGCUAAAACAUUAAUCCUUUGCUUAGCAUUUGCUGGGGCAAAAAUGUACCAGAGGAAAAGGCUUGAGGAGAAAAUGAAAAAAGAACAGGAGGAGAAGCUGAAAAGGGAAGAGAAAAAAGAAAACUGAAACGUCUUAAGAGCCGUUUGGCAGCUUGCUUGGAUUCCUUUCCUGGGAGAGUUGAACACUUCACUGAAACCGAAUGCUGUGCCAGAGAAACUUAAUUCCCCAAGAGCAACAUACAACAAAAACAGCAGAUAAUGGAUUGUUUCAGAGACCUGAACUUCUCAAAAUUACCACCAGCCAAGCCAUCACACCAUCAGCCAGGACUUUCCAGAUUAAAUGACUCAUUAGUAACUGUACUUCUACUUCUUCUGUGGCUCAUGGUAAGAAAAUUGUAACUCAAAAUAUCCUGCUGGCCUUUUUUAUGUUGUUAACCAUAUUGCCUUUAGAUGUCAGUUCAGUUUAUUCCCAUAGAGCAGGAUGAUGUCUGCAGAA